AAGGACGUCGCGCAGGAAGCGCAGAUUAACCAAAAGGGAUACGCUGGAUUGCCGCCAGGAUGGUGCGCAGAUCAAGGAUGUCAGCACUCAGUCUGCAAAAGCCCCGCACCAGCGGGGUUUU
rnacentral:sRNA from 1 species